GAUGAAGAACGCAGCGAAAUGCGAAAAGUAAUGUGAAUUGCAGAAUUCAGUGAAUCAUCGAAUCUUUGAACGCACAUUGCGCCCGCCAGUAUUCUGGCGGGCAUGCCUGUCUGAGCGUCAUUUCAACCCUCACGCCCCUAGGGCGUGGUGUUGGGGAUCGGCCAAGGCCCGCAAGGGACGGCCGGCCCCUAAAUCUAGUGGCGGACCCAUCGCGGCCUCCCCUGCGAAGUAGUAAUAUAUUCCGCAUCGGAUAGCGAUGAGCCCCUGCCGUUAAACCCCCAACUCUUUCAAGGUUGACCUCAGAUCAGGUAGGAAUACCCGCUGAACUUAAGCAUAUCAAUAAGCGGAGGA
rnacentral:misc_RNA from 1 species